AGAGCCUUUUCUGACAUCCUCAUUUGUUCUGCGGUGUAAUAGCAUGGGAUCUUUCAGAGCUGUCGACAUCUGCUCCACUCUAGAGAGCUGCAGAACCGAGCCAGUAAAGCAAUAAUAAUUAUGCCCGAAUGGACUGCAAAGGAUCUGUUGUUACACAAGAACGAAAGAACCGAUCUGCAAAGCAGUCAGGCUGCUCAGUGACACACUUGGUCAGUUCCUUGAAUAACUAGUCAGUUUAACAAAGGGAAUGGAAAUCAAAUAAAUGCCUCAAACCAGAA
rnacentral:lncRNA from 1 species